UACCAAUGUUCAAAAAUGAAGGGCAGAGAGAGUAGUCGUUUUCCAGUGUUGCUUUAUUUCCACAUUUUUAGCUCAGGAACAGUACAUGAGCUUUUUCAGGGCCAAUUUUAUCUUCAAAGAAGUAGCAAAUUAGAUUUAAUGGUACUAUAAGUGGUAUUGAAAGUUGCUGAAGUUUUAGAUUGUGAGCCUGCAGCCAGAGACAAUCUAGUUAUUACUAAUCCUAUGGAAGUAGUUUUGGAUGGAAAGUUUUUUAUGAUUUACUUAAGUAGAUAAAAUGAAAAAAUGGAAACAUAUGAAAAAUGUUAUCUAUAACACUAUGACAUCUGUAAAAAUUAAGAAAUCGGCAAUAAUAUCAUCACUGCUAGAAAUAUUUAGACAUGGAAGCUGUAGGAUACACCAUAGUUUUUAUUGCAACACGCCUGUUUGAAGAUGUGAUAGACAGAGAAGUAAAGAAUUAAACCAGUUGUAUGAAUUUUUAAAAGCUUUCAAAAUGUCAAUCCUCACCUUGCAAAAAUUAGAAAAUAUAUGCAUUUUCUAAUUUGUAGAUGCUGAAGUUUCCUUAGUAUUUUAUAUGUUCACGAAGUGCAGCUAAAAUUUCCUUUUAGAAUUCCUUCCUCCAAAGCAUCCUAAGAUCUGUACAUUCUUCAUGGAAACCAUUUGGGUUGUGCUUUCUUCUAGGGCACAAAGAAAUUCCUGACAUUGUGAACUGUAAGCACCUUAAGAUGUUCAGAGAUUGGGAUGGUGACCUGAAGAAACUGCCAAACAUUAAAAUGAGAAAGAUAACAAGUCAAGAUGCCUUGAACAGCAUGAUGGAGAAGACAAGUGAGGAAGCUGAAAUGGACCUGAAUGCAACAAAAAACACAGACUGAGGCAUUCGCCUAUACUAUAGAUAGAUACCAGCUUCAGCAAAUUGCAAAUAUGCUUUUUAAUAUAUGGAAGCGAGGUUAAAUCUCACUGUAAGAUGCGACAAGUCUUGCCUCUUGGUGUGCCCAGCACUACACUUUGUUAUUCAGGUAAUGAUGUGAGAUUCUGGACAUGGUAUACUAUAUUGUAUUUUGAAGCACAGUGUAAAGUUUAUAAAGGUAAAAGUAAUACUAUUAAAAUUCAAAUUUGAUGUUUCAGUGGCAUAACCCUACCUACAUUUGGUUAAGACAUUUACAAUCACUGAAGGAAGCAAUGCAAAUUGGCCGGAGAAGAGACUUGAACACCAUAAGCAGGAACUGGAAACAUUACUACUCUUUCAUGUUUUGUAGUGUUCUAUCAAAGACUAUUUUAAUAUUUUUUCAAGGAAAUUAAUUAAAAUCAGAAGCACUGUGAAAAAAUUAUAUGCUUCACAUUUAAUUCUGCCACAGUUUAGUUUGUUCUUGAGAGGAAUAAGUUGAUAAUAAUAAAAAACCAAGAACAGCCCAAUUCAUACUGUUGUUUUCUGUAAAUACAUGGUUCCUUGAGUGCUCCUGGGAUUCACAAGUUGAUUUACUUGUGGGGAGCCUUCUGUGAAGUACGAUCCCAGGAUGUUUAAAUAUCACUUCAGCUGCAUGAUUCUGUCCAUCUGUUUUAAGUGAAGAUUUGUGCUGCCAAGUUUUGUUCUUGUUGUUCAUCUUCUUGUUAGGUAGCGUACGAUUUCUUCUACUUAACAAGGUAAAUCACGUAUUCAACUUACUUAUAUUGGAGGGGAGGGAAUGGCUGAAGUUAGUGUGUUAAAGAUAGUUAAACAGAAUGCCCGCUUAUUGAAUAAAAACAUUUGUAUUUAGGAACACAUGUUCCAAAAGGAAUGCAGGAAUCAUGAGUUGAAACCCCUGUCAUUAAGCAUUAUUUGCAUACUAGCUGUGCCCGGCCACGCGUUGCUGUGGCUGAUGGGAAUCAUUUGUUGACCAGGUGGUAUAGCAGUGAAUAGCCUUGCAGCCUUAAAGUCUGGGUGUUUUCUGCUUACGUGAAUCCUUGUUUGGUGAGCUGGAAUACAAUGGAAUAGGUUUGGUGCUUGGAAGGCUGGGUAGUUGCGUUGUAGGGAAAUGGUUUUUUAGCCAAUUUGAAUUGCAGUGAAUAGCCUCGGUGUUUGAAAGACUGACUGCUUUCUACAUAGGGGCAUCCUUUCUUGGGAAGUGUUAGCUGGCCCUGGUUGUUUCCUGUCUGGUAUUCCCAUUUUCAGAGUGUUGUUCUUUAUGUAAUGCCCUGAUUUUAGAGAUUAUAUUGUUUUGUAUUAUUACAGCACAGUAAUUUUAGGUAUUAUAUUUGUUGCCUGAGAGUACUGGCACGUGGCUCCUUUUUCCAAUCCCUGGAAGAGAGACAGAGGCCCAGGCAGGUGAGGGUGGGAAGGUAGGGCCCUCCUUUGAAGAGGGGAAAAGGGGAGGGAGGGGGUGCAAGGAGCUAAGGCCCUGCUUCCGGGUGGCCCUGCCUAGGCCUUCACGGCCUUAGGCCGCCGUUUGACUCUGUAGGCCUGGCCCAUGUGGCAGGCCUGGGCCCUUGCCGGCUCUUCAGGGCCUUCAGGACACGGUGUGUGUGUGUGGGGCUCUUCCCGGCUUUGCGGCCACCCCUGUCUCCGCCUCUGCAAGCCUCCAUUUCAAAAAAAAAAAAAAAAAAAAAAAAAAACCUUGGGGCCUCACGGCCUCCCUCCAGCUGGUGAGGCGGCUCUUCGGGGGGGGGGGGGGCGGCCUCCCUCUGGCCUGUGGCGCAUGGAGGAGGUCGCGGUGGCUCUUUGCAGGCGGGGUGGUGGUGGCCUGACUAUUCUUACUCCGCGACCCUCCUCUUUGGCAGGCGUCACAGGCCCCGCCGCGUGGAGGCUCCUACUCCGACCACCAUGGGGCCUUCCAGCCAGGCUGAUGGGUGGGUUUUUAAGGCCCCGUGGAGGUUCUUGACGGGAUUUUUUGUUGUAUCAACCUAGAGGCGUGGAUGAUGGGUUGUGUUGUCAAAUUUCGAGGUUGGGGGGCCUUUAGUUUUGUUGUUUUGCUCGGUGCCACGAUUCCAUCACUCUUUUAUAUAUAUAGAUGUACACUCCAUGCUCCGUCCCUGGCAUCUUCUUUUUAAAAAUGAUUUAGGAGUAGGAAAUACUGUAAUUAGUGUAUAUUUUAUGAGAAUACACUGAGGUUAGGGGAAAAUAUGUGUAUAAAUAUAUUUGCUAAACACAUUCCUUGGGAAAACAGUUAUAACCCAACGCUGUUUAAUCAGUAGUCUUAAGUACCUUGUACUGUCAGUACAGUGUCAUUGAUGCAGCAUGUUGGCACUGAAAAGAAUAAGAUUGCUUGGAAAAACAAGAACAUGUAUAUGUGCACUUUGGAUUCAGAGAAUAUAGCAGUUGGCCAUGGAUUUCGGGCUUAAAAAUAAUAUUUAAGUUGAAAUAAAUGUUGGACCUGUAUGUUUGCUCCUCCCUUCAUGCACAAGCAUCAGUGCUUUGGUGCAGUCUUUAUUAUGUCCCAAACUUUGGUUUACUGUCAGUUUACUAAUUGGGAUCUUAAACCUUGAUUUGUUCAUGGUUAAUAGCUGAUGUAUUUCAUAUGUAUUUUUAAAGAAUUAUUGAGAUUCUGGAGCUGGCAUGGCAUGUAAGAGAAAGAGAAAAGUGUCUGUGGCUACUGAGUCAGAUCAAAACAGGUGUACAUCCUUUUCUAGUUGUUUGCUCUCUGAAGCGGUCAAAUACAAGUUGCUCAUUUCAUACUGUUAAGGCUGAACUUUAAAACAAUUUUCACAAACAGCCGUACUGAAAUUUAAUCUUAUAGAAUAAAGUGUGUGCACAUGUGUAUCCACAUAAUGCUCAUGCAAUAAGAUACACCAUAUAUAUGGAGACCCUUAAAAAAGGAACUGUGGGGCAAUUUUAAACUUAGAAAAUGAUACACACAGUGCCUGGUAAAAAUACUCUCAGCUUUUCUUGACCUCUUCAUACUUUGUUGUAUACGAUCUGUAAGAAUCACUUGGUUAACACAAGGUACUCAUCACUGUGAAGGCACAAAAUGAUUUUAAUGUACAAAAGGAAACAAAAACAAUCUGACAUUUAUUGGUGGCAUGGGUAGAAUGGCUCCUUGGCUGUGGCAUGCCUAAAUAGGCUCUGGUGCAAUGUACUGCCUCCAGAACUCAAGGUGGAUGAACAGGCUCCAUCUGGAAGCAGUUUUGGCAUUAGAUGUCCUCAGAUAACAUACUCCUGUAUCUGAAAGGCACCGAGUUUAUUGGAGGCUAUACCUAAGCAAACCGUAUCAUGAAGACCAAGGAGCUACUAUUUCUACAAUUCUCUAUGAUAAGAGACCUUUACCCAGGAAUACUCACAGCUAUAAUUGCUGCUGAAGGUGCUUUUACCAAAUAUUGCCCACUUACAUGCCAGUUUAUGUUUCCUUAAUAUCUCUGCCACAAUAAAAGUAAUUUACACCCUCACAGUGUUGAGUAUACACCAAGGAGUAGCAAUGCCACUUAAAUCCAUUUCAGUUCAAGGUUGCAAUAUAACAGAAUUAGGAAAAAAUCAAAGGGUGUGUAUGUGUGUGAAGGCACUGUUGAUAUGUGUGUGUAUAUACACAUACAUACACACAGUUAAGACAGAUAGUCUUGCAAGCUUAAAGUUCUUCCGCAGCAGGGUCUCCAUCUAUUGAUGGCAUGUAACUUCCCAAAAGAAAUCUAAAUACAUGAUGAUUCCUCUUUGAAAAGAAAUAAUUACAGCUACCUUUGAGGCAUCUGUUUAAUACAAAUACAAAUUUGUUCCACAACAGUUAGUAAUUAUAUUAAGUUUUCCCCCUUUCCCAAAUACCCUUUUUAAUACACGAGUCAUCCACAAAAGCAUCUAAGGUCUGUUGCAAAAGAGAAUUGGGUCAAACAAGUAAGAAACCUGUCAGUCCAACAAUUGUACAGAAAGAAAAUAUUUGCAUCAUAGAUUGCAUUGCAGUGCAAGAUUCAGAAUUUGACAGUUAAUUUUGUAAUGGAUGUGUGUACCGAUGUACAUGUUUCAGAACCGUACUAUCAAUUGCUUUCCAGCUGUAGCAAUAGCACCAGUAGACUGCUUAGGUAUCCUCAUAAAGCUAACUGAAUAAUCCAAAGGGGAUAGCCUCUGACAGCCCCACAAUUAUUUAAGAAAAUUGUUUUGGCAUUCAACUUUACCUAAUGUUAAUUUUUUUCAUCAUAUUUGUAGGAAUCUUAGUUCACUAUAUAAAACACUUUUCUUUGAUGUAUCUUUUGGUUUCUCUGUCAGGUGAUAACUAAAAAAUAUAACACUGCAAUCUCUGUGUGACAAGUGCCAUUUUAAUGGUGUUUUCUUUAAAAAGGGAUAACAAUUCCUACAAUGGCUGCUUUUCAACUAUGUGCACUGAGUUUCAGAAGAUGAAUAUCAAAUACUUUUUUCCUUCUUAGCUUUUCAGUAAUAAAACCAAUAUCACCAUUUGCCUUGAAAAUGUGGGCUGGCAUACAUUUAUUCAAUAAAUUCCCUUUACCUUUUAAAAUUGGGGGUUAUACAGGUUAUUUCCUUCAAUGUGUGUCAAAGUAUAGUCAUGCCCAAAUUUCCAUGUUUUCAGACCACCACUGGCCUUGGACUAAGUAACUGACUUUUUCAUAUGCAUAGCAACCUGCAGGUCAAAACAUGCUGUGCCCUUUAUACAAUGGAGUUUGCUUUGGGCUGCACUGUAUAGACACACUUCAAAAUGAUAAUUUGGAAAACUAGUUGUCUGACUCCACAUUUAUACUAUAAUAUUAGGCAAUUUAUAUGGUAUUAGUUUUCCUCAUGCAACUGGUUGCUUUUUAAACCUUCUGCCUUCUGUGUCAUUUGUUUAUGCAAAGCAAUGGUAUUAUGCUAAAAGUCUAUAGCUGGGUAGAAGGAAGAAAAAAAAAUCACAAUUUACCUCAAACCAUUAUUGUAUUGUUUCCACAUCUGAGCAGGAAAACCACCCAGUUUGGAAUUUAUUUCAAACCGUGACCUUACUUUUUAGUGACUUGUGAACUUACUCAACAUGCAUCAUGAUCUAAUCUCAAAGAGGUUGUGGGAGUAAUUUCAACCAAACAUUUAAAUGUUAACUGGCCACUUCUCUUUUUUGUUUGAAAUAUGACAGGUUAGUUAUACGUCUUGCAUUUAAGACGUUUUGGCAAAAUAUCACCCUAUAGAAUUAUUAUUUGCUUUGUUGGUAUACGUUUAACUAGGCCCUGGUUCCAAUAUGAUAAUAAAUGAUGUUACUUCCUGAUACUAAGGGGCAAUCUACUUUGCUGCAGUUACCCAGAUGAGCUUUUCAUCCUCUGCAAUUUUCAUAAAAGUCUGAGACAUGAAAUGUAGUCUUUUUUUAAAAUGACAAACCACUGCAGUUUGCCCUCCAAGUCUCCCUUAUUACUAAUAACACUGUUCUUGUAUAAUUCACAUUACUUGGGCACAACUCACAAUAUAUUCAACAAGUGUAACUGUGGCAUAAAAGAGAAACUUGAUUCUCUUCAGAGUAUCAGAUUGUUUUGCCUUUUGAAACGGGAUGCUAACAUCCUUUUGUCCCAUAUGUUAUGGCUGCCGAGUACACCAUUAUACUGAUGUGUAUCUUCUGUGUUUUAUUUAAUCACAUUUCAGUUUUACAUUACUAUGCUAGAACAGCAGUAUUAAUAUCUGAAGUAUUGAACCUUUAAUCAUUAUCUUUUCCAUGUGUACAUGAGAGAGAUACUGGCAUUAUGUCUGUAAAGACUAUCCUAGCAGCUUCAGAGUCAUUCCUAUCCUGAUCUUCUAAAAUAAAUGAAUGAUUUCCAUUUUCCA